rnacentral:rRNA from 1 species
UGGGGAAUCUUGCACAAUGGAGGAAACUCUGAUGCAGCGAUGCCGCGUGAGUGAAGAAGGCCUUUGGGUUGUAAAGCUCUUUCGUCGGGGAAGAAAAUGACUGUACCCGAAUAAGAAGGUCCGGCUAACUUCGUGCCAGCAGCCGCGGUAAUACGAAGGGACCUAGCGUAGUUCGGAUUUACUGGGCUUAAAGAGUUCGUAGGUGGUUGAAAAAGUUGGUGGUGAAAUCCCAGAGCUUAACUCUGGAACUGCCAUCAAAACUUUUCAGCUAGAGUAUGAUAGAGGAAAGCAGAAUUUCUAGUGUAGAGGUGAAAUUCGUAGAUAUUAGAAAGAAUACCAAUUGCGAAGGCAGCUUUCUGGAUCAUUACUGACACUGAGGAACGAAAGCAUGGGUAGCGAAGAGG